AAAGUAAUUAUGGAUGUUAUGAGAACAGCGUGUGAAGGGCUCGGUGCCAGGAAACGGUCUUGUCUGCACCUGCUGUAAACACCACUGCUGGAUUCGAGGCUACAACUGUUUUUUCCCGACUGCACUCACCGACGGACUGUCUGGUGCCGGUGGCGAGGUCCUGGGCGCAGGCGGCGGCGCUCGGGCCGCAGCUGGUCGCCGGCGAAGACUCGCAGAGCUUCAACGUGUAGCUCACUCUGUUGUCGCGGUCGAUAGCUUCCCACUUAUAUCUGCAACACAAGGGAAAAAGACAGAUGGGAUCAAACCUUGUGGUGAAGAGGCCUGUCGACAACGACAGCAACAAAAGUGAGAGGCUUGCAACUGUGGUUGCGGAAACUAACGAUUACUUCUUUUACCAUCUAAUUAUUGCGCACCACAAUUUUCCUGACACGAAGAAAAUCGUAACAUUUGAGGAGCUGGAGCCUGACAAAAAAAUAUUCAUUAAUGAAGGAUUUAAACAAUAGUUAUGCAAGAUUCUUUACAUUUUUUAAAUUUAAUAAAUACAUUUUUAUGAAUUUAAAUUGUUUUGCAGAGCAGAAACAGUCAAACAAGAGAAAAAUAAUCAGCAACUUUUUUUAUGUUUUAAUUAAUUUUUAAGCCAAAAUGACAAAAAGGGUUAUUUUGUCAUUUUGAAAUUUUUUACAAUGGGCUUUGGGGAAAAUUAAAAUGGAUAUGUUUUGUUGCUUACUGACAUUAUUUCAAUCAAACAAUUGAACAAUUAGAUCAAGAGCUAGUAGAUACACGAGACGAAUGGUUUCCAUUAAAUAUGAUCAAAUUUCAGUCAGUCGAGAAAGUGAAACUGAAGAGACGCCGGUCUCUACAACAGCGAACAAUGAUUCAAAGCAGAAGUCGAAAUCCAUCGUGAAACCACUUCAAGAAGAGCGAGCGGAAGCGUCUGGAACGACCCACGUUGUCCUCUGACCUGAACGCAACUAAAAAAUGAUCUGUGGGUGGAUCUCAACACACUGAAAAUAUCUCUGAGGAGGAGGAGGAGCGGGGGAAAAGCCCAAAAUCAGGAGUAAAAACACUUUAAGCUGGCUGCAAAAGGUUUGCCAAAGGGCGUACGAACUUUGUGGGACACAAACCCAAUUCUAUUUUUAUUCACGAAAUAAAAGAAGAUAAUUAACAUUUGAAACUGGUGACCGAUGGCUCGUUGCUGCAGGGGAUGAAUUUACUUCAACAUAAUCACCAAAAACAUGUAAAUUGCUUCAACAGCUACUACUUUUUGUUGCACGAUAUAUUGUCCCAGAAAAUAUUGCAAUAAACAAUAUUAUCGUCAUUUAAAGACCUUUUUUACAGUAUAGGUCUGUAGGACCUUCAUUCUUAUGUCAACAAACACACAUGUUGACACAUCGGCUGUUAUUGAAGCCAUUGAAAAUGAUUGACUUCAUAUUCAUUUAAUCAUAAGAUAAGUGGAUAACGUGACAGGCCUACCCCGCGACACACAAACCUUUUGCACACAACGUUGAGCAAAUAAUUAGAAUAAUAAUCCCCCUCUAACCUCUGCGUAUUAUCUACAUUUGGAAGUUAAACCUACCAAAAGUUCCUGGUGAACUGUUUCUGAUUGUCAUCGGCCUUUUCUCAUGAAACAGUGAACACGGGAUCUGGUUCCUGCCUCGGCGCUGCGUCAAUAUUUGAACAGCAGCCGCCUGCACAGGGCUCAGUAAAAGGAGGACAACGCUGUGUUUGGUCAACAGAUUGUUCAGUCUGUAAUGUAAAGUUAAAGCCAAUGAGAGGUGGAGGAAACACUAAAGUAAAAGUCCUUAUACUGUACUUUAAAAGUACAAGUUAAAGUACUGCUUCCUAAGUAUUACGAAUUGUAAGAACUGUAGCUAAGUUAAAAGGAGGAGCAGUCAGUGCAGGACAGUAGUGACUGUUAUACUAAUCAGAUAUAAUGAUAUAAUAUUAAACUGGAAUAUUAUUAAUAACACAAAUUGCACAUCUUCUUUAGGUUGUGGGCGGAGCUAGCUCAGAUCUCAUUUACAGUAGAAAGGGCUGCGAUUGCAAUCGGUUUGUUUUCAUUAUGUUUUGUGCACCAGUUUAUUUGAUUGAUUGAUUGAUUGAUUGAUUUUAAAAGACCAAAGCGACACCUCCACAAUGCUGGUUUUCCCCCAACUUCACAAUUAUUAAAAGAACAAAUUAAAGUUAGAUCGUCAUAUUUGAAAAACGGGAAACAUGAUUUAUUCUUGUGUUUUUACAAAAAGAAAAAUAUGAAUCAAUAGAUUUUUUUGUGCUUCUGUGAUUCAUCAACUAACUCUUAACUGAAGUUCUACUUGUAUCAACUGUUGGCUGAUGCUUUUAUAAUCGUUCUCUAUGCUCUUCUUACUGUAGGUAUGCUAAAAUAUAUAAAUAUGUUUUAAAGAAACUUGUAACUGAAGCUGGCAAAUAAAUGGAAUAAGUGUUUUAAAAAAGUA